rnacentral:ribozyme from 15 species
GAAAAAGAAAAAGAGAAAAAAACAGAAACAAAAAGUGGCAACAACAACAACAACAACAACAAAAUCAGAUUUUUCGUUUUGAUUAAUUUUUUGUCAACUUUUGCAUUUGUAUAUUUUCAGUUUUCG